UCCCUGGUGGCUCAGCAGUAAAGAAUCUGCCUGCAAUGCAGAAGAUCCGGGUUCAAUCCCUGGAUUGGGAA
rnacentral:tRNA from 1 species